rnacentral:tRNA from 4 species
GCGGAAGUGGUGGAACUGGCAGACACGCUACCUUGAGGUGGUAGUGGGAGUAAAAUCCCUUGGGGGUUCAAGUCCCCCCUUUCGCA